rnacentral:lncRNA from 1 species
UCGGACAUGGGGACAGGGACAUGGACACAGGGACAGGGGGAUGGAGGGGUAUAGGAACAGGUGGAUAUGGGGACAGGGGGACACAGGGACACGGGGACAUAGCAUAUGGGGACAUGGGGAUUUGGGGACACAGGGAUUUGGGGACGUGGGGACGGAGGGACAUGGACACGUGGACAGGGGGAUGGAGGGACAUGGGGACAUGGGGUCAUGAGGAUUUGGGGACACGGGGAUGGACGGACAUGGGGACAUGGGGACACAGGGACAUAACAUAUGGGGACACAUGGAUAUGGGGCCAUGGGGAUGCAGGGACACGGGGACAUGGGGACACGGGGAUUUGGGGACACAGGGCUGUAGGGCCACGCGGAUAUGGGGCCAUGGGGGACAUGGGGACAUGGGGACGUGUGGCCACCCCGCUGCGGUCCCGCAGUGCUGGUUCGGCGCGGCCCCGACGGGAAGGCGCAGCUCGUGCUGCUGGACCACGGCCUCUACGAGUUCCUGAGCGAGAGGGACCGCAGCGCGCUGUGCCAGCUGUGGCGUGCCAUCGUGCUGCGCGAUGACGCCGCCAUGAGGAGCCGCUCGGCCGAGCUGGGCGUCAAGGGUGAGGUGACCCCCGGGGGUGUCCCCAUGGGGCCCUAAUCCCACCCCUUAGGGGCCAGAAUCCCGCCUUUUAGUGCCCUAAUCCCAAUUUUGGGUGUCAUAAUCCCAAAUUUGGGUGCCAUAAUCCCACUUCUAGAGCCAUAAUCCCAAUUUUGAGAGCCAUAAUCCCAUUUUUGGGUGCCAUAAUCCCAAUUUUGGGGGCCACAAUCCCACUUCUAGAGCCAUAAUCCCAUUUUUGGGUGCCAUAAUCCCAAUUUGGGGUGCCGUAAUCCCACUUCUAGAGCCAUAAUCCCAACCUUCGGUGCCAUAAUCCCACCCUUGGCACAAUAAUCCUACCCUUUAGUGCCAUAAAACCAAUUUUGGGUGCUGUAAUCCCACCCUUUGAUGCCAUAAUCCCAGUUUUUGGUGCUGUAAUCCCAAUUUUGGGUACCAUAAUCCCAUCCCUUGGGUACCAUAAUCCCAACCUUUGGUGCCAUAAUCCAACCCCUCAGGUGCCACAGCCCUGUCCCCCUGCCCUAUGAUCCUCGGGAUGCUGUAGCCCCAUCCUCAGCCCAUUCCCAACCCCGUCUUCCUGCCCUGUGCCCCUCAGGGUUCUGCAGCUCCCUGGGGCACCAUAAUCCCUCCCUGCUGGGUGCCGUAAUCCCCCCUUUGGGUGUCAUAAUCCAACACUUGGGUGCCAUAAUCCCACUCGGGGUGCCACGGGAUGCCAUAAUCCCCCAUUUGGGUGCCAUAAUCCCCCCUUAGGGUGCCAUAAUCCCUCCUUUGGGUGUCAUCAUCCCACCUUUGGGUACCAUAAUCCAA